rnacentral:rRNA from 1 species
UACGUAGGGUGCGAGCGUUUGUCCGGAAUUACUGGGCGUAAAGAGCUCGUAGGUGGUUUGUCGCGUUGUUCGUGAAAACUCACAGCUUAACUGUGGGCGUGCGGGCGAUACGGGCAGACUGGAGUACUGCAGGGGAGACUGGAAUUCCUGGUGUAGCGGUGGAAUGCGCAGAUAUCAGGAGGAACACCGGUGGCGAAGGCGGGUCUCUGGGCAGUAACUGACGUGGAGGAGCG